rnacentral:rRNA from 1 species
UUUCCCGGUUGAUCCCGCCGGACCUGACUGCUAUCGGAUUGGUACUAAGCCAUGCGAGUCAUUGUAGCAAUACAAGGCGGACGGCUCAGUAACACGUAGUCAACCUAACUCGUGGACGUGGAUAACCUCGGGAAACUGAGAAUAAACCACGAUAGACCAUAGUGCCUGGAAUGGCUUAUGGUCCAAACAGUUUACUGCCAUGGGAUGGGACUGCGGCCUAUCAGCUUGUUGGUGAGGUAAUGGCCCACCAAGGCGAUUACAGGUACGGGCUCUGAGAGGAGAAGCCCGGAGAUGGGUACUGAGACACGGACCCAGGCCCUAUGGGGCGCAGCAGGCGAGAAACCUUAGCAAUGUGCGAAAGCACGACUGGGUCAGUCCGAGUGAUUCCUGAUAAAGGAGUCUUUUGCUUGUCCUAAAAGCACAGGUGAAUAAGGGGUGGGCAAGUCUGGUGUCAGCCGCCGCGGU